UGUAUAAGCGGCGCACAAAGACUAAACAAAAGCGUGGAACUAAAGCCGCCGGAUUGGCAAUCGAAAAAGUGCCCGUAAUGGCCAAAGAAAAGGGCAAUCGCUCUCAUAAAGAUAGCACUUAUCAGUGAUAACAACACUUUCAACCAUUAUCAUAACUUACUUAAAUCACCGAGAGCCCGACGACGCUUCCAAUAUAGUGCAACCAGGCCGAUCAACACCAAGAUGAGUAUUUUGAAGGUCAUUCGCAAGACGGAUAUGAAUACAAUUGAGUGUGCAGGCGAUUCCAGCAACAAACUGUACUGCGUUUCGUUGUUCAUUUCGAAAAUAUAUUUACUAAUUGUUCAAAUAUUGAAAGUCUUCCAGGUCUCGAGCAAGAGUCAAGGCAUAUAUCACAGCAAGGACAACCAAAACCGUGAGGAUACCCGCCUCGAAUGCCAGAAAUGUCCAGUUUAUGUGGAGCCGCUGGGAAAUGUCCUCAAACACAUCCAAUAUGGUGGCAUUCAUCGUGAGGACCUGCGACCUAACUAAAUGGAUUUCAUAAUCAUUUGCUGAAUUACCCAGCAUUUCGAUAUCCAUGCGUAAACGUACCAUUUAGCAGCACAUUUGGAAUUGGGAUCCGAAACAGAAGGGAAUCACUGCCGCUGUUAUCAGCAUAUCAGUAUAUAUUGCACAAAUAUAAUAAUAACACAUA